ACGUUAGCGGCGGACGGGUGAGUAACACGUGGGUAACCUACCUAUAAGACUGGGAUAACUUCGGGAAACCGGAGCUAAUACCGGAUAAUAUUUCGAACCGCAUGGUUCGAUAGUGAAAGAUGGUUUUGCUAUCACUUAUAGAUGGACCUGCGCCGUAUUAGCUAGUUGGUAAGGUAACGGCUUACCAAGGCGACGAUACGUAGCCGACCUGAGAGGGUUAUCGGCCACACUGAACUGAGACACGGUCCAGACUCCUACGGGAGGCAGCAGGG
rnacentral:rRNA from 1 species